rnacentral:misc_RNA from 1 species
UCUCCGUAGGUGAACCUGCGGAGGGAUCAUUACCGAGUGAGGGUCCUUGUGGCCCGACCUCCAACCCCCUGUCUUCCGACUCUGUUGCCUCGGGGGCGACCCUGCCGUUUCGACGGCGAGCGCCCCCGGAGGCCUUCAAACACUGCAUCUUUGCGUCGGAGUUUAAGUAAAUUAAACAAAACUUUCAACAACGGAUCUCUUGGUUCUGGCAUCGAUGAAGAACGCAGC